GAUGAAGAACGCAGCGAAAUGCGAUAAGUAAUGUGAAUUGCAGAAUUCCGUGAAUCAUCGAAUCUUUGAACGCACAUUGCGCCCGCCAGCACUCUGGCGGGCAUGCCUGUCCGAGCGUCAUUUCAACCCUCAGGGCCCCUUCGGGGGACCUGGCGUUGGGGAUCGGCCCGCCCCCGUGCGGCGCCGUCCCCGAAAUAUAGUGGCGGUCUCGCUGCAGCCUCCCCUGCGUAGUAGCACACCUCGCACUGGAGAGCGGCGCGGCCACGCCGUGAAACCCCCAACUUCUGAAUGUUGACCUCGGAUCAGGUAGGAAUACCCGCUGAACUUAAGCAUAUCAAUAAGCGGAGGA
rnacentral:misc_RNA from 1 species